rnacentral:rRNA from 1 species
ACAGCAGUCGCCGCGGGAAUACAGAGGGUGCAAGCGUUAAUCGGAUUUACUGGGCGUAAAGGGCGCGUAGGUGGUUAUUUAAGUGAGAUGUGAAAGCCCCGGGCUUAACCUGGGAACUGCAUCUUAUACUGGCAAGCUAGAGUGUGUCAGAGGAUGGUGGAAUUCCCGGUGUAGCGGUGAAAUGCGUAGAGAUCGGGAGGAACAUCAGUGGCGAAGGCGGCCAUCUGGGACAACACUGACGCUGAGGCAAGAAAGCGUGGGGAGCAAACAGGAUUAGAUACCCCCGUAGUCCCUGUCUCUUAUAA